UGAUUUGAUGUGAUGUGUAUGAU
rnacentral:siRNA from 1 species